CCUACGGGAGGCUGCAGUGGGGAAUAUUGCACAAUGGGGGAAACCCUGAUGCAGCAACGCCGCGUGAGUGAUGAAGGUUUUCGGAUCGUAAAGCUCUGUCUUUGGGGAAGAUAAUGACGGUACCCAAGGAGGAAGCCACGGCUAACUACGUGCCAGCAGCCGCGGUAAUACGUAGGGGGCUAGCGUUAUCCGGAAUUACUGGGCGUAAAGGGUGCGUAGGCGGCCGAUUAAGCCAGGGGUGAAAGGCUACGGCUCAACCGUAGUAAGCCCUUGGAACUGAUUGGCUUGAGUGCAGGAGAGGAGAGUGGAAUUCCUAGUGUAGCGGUGAAAUGCGUAGAUAUUAGGAGGAACACCAGUGGCGAAGGCGACUCUCUGGACUGUAACUGACGCUGAGGCACGAAAGCGUGGGGAGCAAACAGGAUUAGAUACCCUAGUAGUC
rnacentral:rRNA from 1 species